rnacentral:rRNA from 1 species
CACGUAGGGCGCAAGCGUUGUCCGGAAUUAUUGGGCGUAAAGAGCUCGUAGGCGGCCUGUUGCGUCCGCUGUGAAAACUCGGGGCUUAACCCCGAGCCUGCAGUGGAUACGGGACGAGCUAGAGGUAGGUAGGGGAGAAUGGAAUUCCCGGUGUAGCGGUGAAAUGCGCAGAUAUCGGGAGGAACACCGGUGGCGAAGGCGGUUCUCUGGGCCUUACCUGACGCUGAGGAGCGAAAGCGUGGGGAGCAAACAGG